GGUGAACGCUGGCGGCGUGCCUAAUACAUGCAAGUCGAGCGAACAGACGAGGAGCUUGCUCCUCUGACGUUAGCGGCGGACGGGUGAGUAACACGUGGAUAACCUACUUAUAAGACUGGGAUAACUUCGGGAAACCGGAGCUAAUACCGGAUAAUAUAUUGAACCGCAUGGUUCAAUAGUGAAAGACGGUUUUGCUGUCACUUAUAGAUGGAUCCGCGCCGCAUUAGCUAGUUGGUAAGGUAACGGCUUACCAAGGCAACGAUGCGUAGCCGACCUGAGAGGGUGAUCGGCCACACUGGAACUGAGACACGGUCCAGACUCCUACGGGAGGCAGCAGUAGGGAAUCUUCCGCAAUGGGCGAAAGCCUGACGGAGCAACGCCGCGUGAGUGAUGAAGGUCUUCGGAUCGUAAAACUCUGUUAUUAGGGAAGAACAAAUGUGUAAGUAACUAUGCACGUCUUGACGGUACCUAAUCAGAAAGCCACGGCUAACUACGUG
rnacentral:rRNA from 1 species